AACGAACGCUGGCGGCAGGCUUAACACAUGCAAGUCGAACGGGUGUAGCAAUACGUCAGUGGCAGACGGGUGAGUAACACGUGGGAACCUUCCUCGUAGUACGGAACAACUCAGGGAAACUUGAGCUAAUACCGUAUACGUCCGAGAGGAGAAAGAUUUAUCGCUAUGAGACGGGCCCGCGUCCGAUUAGGUAGUUGGUGGGGUAACGGCCUACCAAGCCGACGAUCGGUAGCUGAUCUGAGAGGAUGAUCAGCCACACUGGGACUGAGACACGGCCCAGACUCCUACGGGAGGCAGCAGUGGGGAAUCUUGGACAAUGGGCGCAAGCCUGAUCCAGCCAUGCCGCGUGAGUGAAGAAGGCCUUAGGGUUGUAAAGCUCUUUUGCCAGGGACGAUAAUGACGGUACCUGGAGAAUAAGCCCCGGCAAACUUCGUGCCAGCCGCCGCGGUAA
rnacentral:rRNA from 1 species